GAACGCUGGCGGCGUGCCUAAUACAUGCAAGUACGCAACGCUGAAGAGAGGAGCUUGCUCUUCUUGGAUGAGUUGCGAACGGGUGAGUAACGCGUAGGUAACCUGCCUUGUAGCGGGGGAUAACUAUUGGAAACGAUAGCUAAUACCGCAUAACAAUGGAUGACACAUGUCAUUUAUUUGAAAGGGGCAAUUGCUCCACUACAAGAUGGACCUGCGUUGUAUUAGCUAGUAGGUGAGGUAAUGGCUCACCUAGGCGACGAUACAUAGCCGACCUGAGAGGGUGAUCGGCCACACUGGGACUGAGACACGGCCCAGACUCCUACGGGAGGCAGCAGUAGGGAAUCUUCGGCAAUGGGGGCAACCCUGACCGAGCAACGCCGCGUGAGUGAAGAAGGUUUUCGGAUCGUAAAGCUCUGUUGUAAGUCAAGAACGGGUGUGAGAGUGGAAAGUUCACACUGUGACGGUAGCUUACCAGAAAGGGACGGCUAACUACGUGCCAGCAGCCGCGGUAAUACGUAGGUCCCGAGCGUUGUCCGGAUUUAUUGGGCGUAAAGCGAGCGCAGGCGGUUUGAUAAGUCUGAAGUUAAAGGCUGUGGCUCAACCAUAGUUCGCUUUGGAAACUGUCAAACUUGAGUGCAGAAGGGGAGAGUGGAAUUCCAUGUGUAGCGGUGAAAUGCGUAGAUAUAUGGAGGAACACCGGUGGCGAAAGCGGCUCUCUGGUCUGUAACUGACGCUGAGGCUCGAAAGCGUGGGGAGCGAACAGGAUUAGAUACCCUGGUAGUCCACGCCGUAAACGAUGAGUGCUAGGUGUUGGAUCCUUUCCGGGAUUCAGUGCCGCAGCUAACGCAUUAAGCACUCCGCCUGGGGAGUACGACCGCAAGGUG
rnacentral:rRNA from 1 species